GGUUGUGGCUCAGUGGUAAAGCACUUGCCUAGCAUGUGUGAGGCCCUGGGUUUGAUCCUCAGCACCA
rnacentral:tRNA from 1 species